rnacentral:rRNA from 1 species
UACGUAGGUGGCAAGCGUUGUCCGGAUUUAUUGGGUUUAAAGGGUGCGUAGGUGGUCCUAUAAGUCAGUGCUGAAAUAUCCCGGCUUAACCGGGAGGGUGGCAUUGAUACUGUUGGACUUGAGUAAAGUUGAGGUUGGCGGAAUUGACGGUGUAGCGGUGAAAUGCUUAGAUAUCGUCAAGAACACCGAUUGCGAAGGCAGCUAAC